rnacentral:rRNA from 1 species
UACGAAGGGGGCAAGCGUUGUUCGGAAUGACUGGGCGUAAAGGGCGCGUAGGCGGUGCGUUGCGUCAGAUGUGAAAUCCCCGGGCUCAACCUGGGAAUGGCAUUUGAUACGGGCGUACUGGAAUCCGUGAGAGGUUGGUGGAAUUCCCAGUGUAGAGGUGAAAUUCGUAGAUAUUGGGAAGAACACCAGUGGCGAAGGCGGCCAACUGGCACGGUAUUGACGCUGAGGCGCGAAAGCGUGGGGAGCAAACAGGAUUAGAAAACCCCCGGUAGUACCGUCCGUAGACGUACGUCG